rnacentral:rRNA from 1 species
GACAGAGGGUGCAAACGUUGUUCGGAAUUACUGGGCGUAAAGCGCGUGUAGGCGGCAGGGUGUGUCGGAUGUGAAAUCCCGUGGCUCAACCACGGAAGUGCACCCGAAACUACCCAGCUCGAGUCUCGGAGAGGAAGGUGGAAUGCUUGGUGUAGAGGUGAAAUUCGUAGAUAUCAAGCGGAACACCGGUGGCGAAGGCGGCCUUCUGGACAGUGACUGACGCUGAGACGCGAAAGCGUGGGGAGCAAACAGG